rnacentral:rRNA from 1 species
GAUGAACGCUGGCGGCGUGCCUAAUACAUGCAAGUCGAGCGAAUGGAUUAAGAGCUUGCUCUUAUGAAGUUAGCGGCGGACGGGUGAGUAACACGUGGGUAACCUGCCCAUAAGUCUGGGAUAACUCCGGGAAACCGGGGCUAAUACCGGAUAAUAUUUUGAACUGCAUGGUUCAAAAUUGAAAGGCGGCUUCGGCUGUCACUUAUGGAUGGACCCGCGUCACAUUAGCUAGUUGGUGAGGUAACGGCUCACCAAGGCAACGAUGCGUAGCCGACCUGAGAGGGUGAUCGGCCACACUGGGACUGAGACACGGCCCAGACUCCUACGGGAGGCAGCAGUAGGGAAUCUUCCGCAAUGGACGAAAGUCUGACGGAGCAACGCCGCGUGAGUGAUGAAGGCUUUCGGGUCGUAAAACUCUGUUGUUAGGGAAGAACAAGUGCUAGUUGAAUAAGCUGGCACCUUGACGGUACCUAACCAGAAAGCCACGGCUAACUACGUGCCAGCAGCCGCUGUAA